ensembl:lncRNA LINC01501 long intergenic non-protein coding RNA 1501
GAGUGAGUCGGCGUCCAGCUCCACCUGAAAGCGCCAUCUUGUCGCCACUUCCCUCAGGAGCAGCAUGCCCAGCCUCUUGCAUAGGAAGAAGUGGUAAGCUAAGGAGAGAAAUGCAGGGUUCCUAGUACACCAAUUUUCCAACUUUUUCAUCUUGGCCCUGCUUUAAAAUGAUGCAUCUACUGUCUUCAUGCCUCAGCACAGCAGAGAAAACCAUGCUGUGUUCCAGUUUACUUUGAAUGUUUCAGUGAAAAUGAUGAAGCUGAAAAAAUGACGGAGGCCCGUUUUACAUUGCAUUUCUCAGAGUCAUCGCCUCUGCUGCAGAUGGAACAACAGCCAUGGAGAAUGAGGGUCACCUGAAUGUGGAAAAGUUGAGUUGGAGCAAAACUGGCACGGCCAUACUGGAUGGACCUCAGCAUGACCAGGACACAUUUCAGCUCAAAUCCCCUGUGCCAAGAACACAUUCUGCCAAGGACCACCACCUCUUCCCACAACUAGCAAACUGAUUUUGAACCUCCCAGACUUGAUGUACAUGUUAAUGUUCAGCUAACUCAGCGUUUCCCGAGAUACCACCGGAAUUGAGAAGCUGCCGCUGACCGACAUUUCUGCUGCUCACCACGUCCCUUUGCCUCAUUAAGAACGGCCUGGGAGACCCAGGGGAGUUCUGAAGCAUAGGGUCGCAACUGAGUUGGACUUCAAUUCAUAGAGCUGGCUUACCAGAGCACCGAUGGACUUGGAUACCUGAGAUAUCUGCUUGGGAUCCCACACUUUCAAGGUCUCUCCUCUGGCCUUCUUCUGGUUCUGCGACUCCUUACAGCGCUGGGAGUUGGUGAUGCCAACAGGACAUACGCUCCCAGAGCCUACCUCUCCCAGAUCACUUUAAAAGGCACCCAGGACCCCAGAAUUCUCAUCCUCAAAGGCAUGGAGCUCAGCUCUUGGCCCUCAACAAAUCUCUUCCCCAUAAAGAUCCUUUUGAGAGCUUAGGAUGUCCCCCGGAUGGUUUUGGUUGCAGAUUGUGGUGGUGGAGGGAGCUAUACAAUUUAAUCUAUUGCCAUUAAUUGGAUGCGCUAAUGGCAGAUUGGGUAGUGAUAAUGCCAUAAGAGGUAGUGUGUGAGCCGUGUGCUGCAUCUGUGCUAGCUCAGGUAAGUCAGCACACAGCACCUGCAGCCUCCUCUCACCUCUUCCCUGAGCAGCACCUUUUCACCUGAACAUGCUGAUCCCCUAGUGCUUCAUCUUGACAGCAACUUAACAAGCCCUGGGCAGCUUUUUAAAAUAAAUGACUAUGAUAUUGACUAUGAAUCUACAUAAAAGCCACUUGUUUUUUAGUCAUAAUCUGUGUCUAACUGCAGAAGAAAUUCACACCUUUGAAAAACAAAUAAAAAUGUAAAAAGUGAAAAUUGUUUGUAACCACAAUAUUCUGAAAUAGAACCUUUUUGUUAGAUCAUUUUCAAGAGGAUUUUUCAUACUUUCCUACAGUAAUACCAAUGUAUAUGCACUUGUAUAAAUUCUUGGUUAAAAUAUUCAUAGGGUGUAUGUGUCUAAAUAUAGAAUCAUACCCUAUUGUACAGUUCUAGUAAAUAGCUAUUUUUUUGCUUUUAACUCAGAAAA